GGUCCUGAAGACGGGGAUUGAGGUUGGAAUGCUCAGCUGGACCGUGGCAUGGCCAUGGAGGACUCAGUGCCAAACCCCUCUGCAUCCAAGCUGCCUCUCCGGUGUCAUAAAUCCAAAUGUGAUUAGCGUGGAUUUGGAAAAGGCUGAUUAAAGGUUCCCAGAGCUCCCCCUUCCCUCUGUCACCCCCCCGGGGCUCCCCCUUCCUGCUGUGCCACUGCUCCCAGGGCUCCUCGUGCCCCUGAGUCAUCUCCAAACUCCAGCUGGAUCCAGGAGCACAGCCCUGCCCUAAGCUGACCGUGAGGGAAGUUGUUUUCCCAAAAUACAGCAGCUCCAAAUCACAGGGAACAGAAAUGCAGUGGGAAAACCCAAAGUGGGGACAGCAGCAGGGUGACAGCCACCCCCGUGCUGCAGGAGAGAGGGAAAAGGUACCUGAGCUGGGGGGGAGAGGGCUUGGAGUGGGGUGAGCGUCUCCAGAGCUGUUCCCUGGGGAAUGGGUAUGGUUUCCAUCCCUCAUGUGCAGCCAGAGCCUUUCCUAGGGGAUUUGCUGGGAGGUCACGGCUUCUUUUAGGUGGGAAUGGGAGUAAAACCUGGGGCUUUCCAGGCUGGAAGAAUAUCCAAGGUGACUGAGAGCUUAGAGGUGCAUUCCCUGUGAGAAAGAGCCUCCCACUCCCAUUCUGGGAUAUCUCAUCCCCUUCCCAAGCUCCUCAGCCAACAGUCCCCAUGGAUUUGGCUCCAGGCCCUGGGAAACGAGACCUUUCCCAGCAAAAGCUCUUUCUGGUGAGAAAAACUCCCUGAUCCUUUCCCGAUGGGGGAAGUGGGAGAGCCCCUGGGCCAUGGGAAAAUCUCCUUCCCCACAUCCUGGUGGGAGGGAUGGAGCCAUAAAAACCCUCGGCACAUCCCGGGCUGGGAGCUGCGGCGGGGAGAGGCCAGGGAAUCAGCAGAAACAUGGCUGUCCUGCUAGGAUUAAGACUGGAAAGGGGGAUCUUGUCCCCUUCCCAAUUAUUUAAUGGUGGGAAACAAGUGCAGUCAGCACUUUGGAAUUUUUCCACCCACUCCCAUGAAAACAUACCCAGCUCUGGAUGUUCCCUCUUCCCAUCUCAGAUGCUCCAGAGGAUGUGGGGAAGGAGCCAUGGAUCCGGUCAGGAAUGCCAGGGCACUUGGGAAAAGUGGAGCAGGUGGAGAUGAUGUGGAAAAAGCACGAUCAUAGCAGCCUGACCCCGGUUUUGUGGGAAAACCAACCCUGGGAGCAGCGAGGAAGCUCUGCAGGAGUUAUUUGGGAGCCAAAGAGGAUGGAUAAGGAUCCAGCAGCCAGCAUUCCAUCACCAACACUGCUCCUGGCCCCUCUUCCCACAGCCAAGCCCGAGAGGAUGGAGCAGAAUCCACAAGCAGGGACAUGCAGCCCCUGGGAACCAGCGAGCUCAUCUUGCUUCACCCCCUGGGCUGGGCUGCCUUGGGCUUGGGAUUGGGCUUCUCUGGGGCAUUACUGCAUCGACUUGGGUUGCAACACCCCAAGGUGAGCGAGUUCAUGGACUCAUAAAAACUCCUUCAAAGCAGUCUUUGCAAGAGAAGUAAGUUCUAGGACCAAGUCUCUGCAGCAGCUGGGAUUUGGGAGCUGGGCGGGGAAUCCCACUGAAUGCUUCCCUAAAAGCGAUGGCGCCUGGCAGUGCAUCCCCCAAAACCCCCAAACUUUCCCUGCCACUUCCUUUCUAAAAGCUUCCUCGUCACCACCAGGUCCAGGCCCAACCCAACACCUCUGCCCCAAAACCCUUGUGCAAACCUGGUACCCUAAGGCUUCCAGCCCCGAUUUCAAGGUCAUUUUCAACCGAUUUAAAGGUUAUUUUUCAUUGAUUUGAGGCCGCCGCCGCUGAUUUGCCUGGUCCAGGCCACCCCCCGCCCGCGCAGCCUUUUCUCGUCUGAGUGAGCGAAAUGCUCACCGCAGAGAGAGUUUCCAGAAAUGAUUCAGCCUUUCCCUUUGAGAGAAACGGGAGGUGAGGAGGGGAAAGUUACCCUGCGUGGACAAUAGGAGGCAUUGAACUCGUCCCCGAUGCGCCGCAGCUCCUGCGCGAUCCAGAUCUCCGGCUGCACCUCUUCAGCUGGAGAGUGGGAUUGCCACCGGGAAGCUGUGGGGGAUGGAACAGGAGAGUUGGAAACCCAGGAAGAAGAACUAAUUGUACAGAAUUUACUACAUAAAACUCUCCAGUAACCCAUCA